AGACACUAGGCCAGGCAGAAAUGGUGACAUCCAUGUGCUGGUUUAUGCUUCCUCUUUCGUAUACUGCGUCUGAGCAUCCUCUUGAGCCUGAGCAUGCUGGUAUUAAAGGGACCUUGACUCAGAGCCCUCUAGCCAGACCGAAAAUUACCUGUGACCUGAGAAGGCUUUUUCAUGAGUGA
rnacentral:lncRNA from 14 species